GAUGGAGAUUGCUGCAUAUCUGAGGCCUUCUGAAGAAUUACUGUGUGAGUAGUCACCAGCCUUGAAGAGAAAAGAAGAGACGACUGAUGCUGAAAAAUGGGUGCAGAAAUAUCUAGAUGCUCAAAAAACGCCUUUGUUUAGAUUCUUUUUCCCUCUCCUUCCUCCGGUAUGAAAGCUCAGAACACCGCCUGUUAGUCUGUAUAGCCAGCUCUUGUUUCUUUUGAUAUGUAAGAGAAUUUAUCAGCUGAUAGAUUUUCACAGCAGUAUUAUUCUCCAGAACCAUAGUUUUCUUAACAGUGGGGAAGCAGGGGGAUCAGGGUUGGGAGGACAAGAUUGUAACACAACCAAGUUCUUUUUAUGCUGCAAAGCUUACAGUGAAAGAAGUGAAAAUGCAGUAAGUACUGAACUUCUGCAGUCUUCUCACAAAUGUGUUUUGGGUUAAGUCCUUUUCCUAAGAACUUUCUGCUCCUGGGGUGCUUACUGGUUUAAUAGUGGUCCUCAGAAAGUACUUCCCAAAUCCUCUGUAUUCCUUCCUACAGUGCAGCUUGUGGCACGGUAUGGGGAGAACAUCCCAUUGCUGGCUGAAUACUUUGGAAAGGCUGAGUUUGUCAAAAUAACGUUCUGGCCUGUUUGGGUACUCAGUGCUUAAGGAUGGUUGCUUCUGUAGGAGCUGUAUGCUUCAUUUUCCUUUGUUUUCUCUUCUACUGAGAAAUCAUUCUUACUUCAUGCUGACAUAAAAUUUGAAGCCAUAAAUGUUUGUAAAACUGUUGGUUAGGACUUGUAACACAUGCAGUUAAACUAUAUUUAUCUACAGUCCCCAUUUAAGAGGCCAGGCUGUCUUCAUCUACUUUCUAACCUGCAGACAGAAACUUAGGCCAUGUAUUCAAAGACCCCACUGUGGUUCGUACAUACUGUACAGCCACUGGUUAUGUUCAAAGGAGAAAAUUACACCAAUCUUUACAUCCUCUCAAUUUCUUAGUGUCUUUAUUAUGUUCCACUCUGAUAAUAAAUCUCCUUUCCACCAUUUUUAAUUGCUGAAAAAAAUUUUGAAUCUUUAUCUCAGUCUAAAGGAUUUGUUCCUGCUUUCUCUGUUUGCCUCCUCCUGGGAGUGCUAAUAGCCUAUAAGCAUGUCCAGUAGCAAUAUUGCCUAUCUAGCCAGAUGAGAAACAGGAUCAGCAAUUAAUUGCUGGUGGGCUAAUGGCUUUGCAGCUUAGCCAGCUGUGCAGCACAGUGCCCUCUACACAGCGAUCAGCAGCACUGAACUCAGUCAAAUCCUUUUGCAUUUCAUUUAUGCCAGCCAUUUCCUUAUCAUGUUUUAUACAUAAACAUCUGGAAUUAAUGGUAAACUCAGAUCUGCUCAUACGCAUGCCAUGCAGAUGGAGAGACACAGACUUGUAAAUAGAAAAUAUUGCUGGGAGGAGUGGUAGUCUGAAGAGGGCUCAUCUGGACACUGCUGCUGGUAGCAACACUUUGUUUUGCAAAGGGAAAAUAGGAAUAGGAAGCAAAUGCUCUCUGUGAGCAUUUUAGCUGCAGCUUACGUCAGAGAAUGCGAAAAGUCACCAUGAAGACAACAACAACAAAAAAAACCAAACAUGCCAUUGAGUAAAAUCUUCCCUUCCCAAAAUGGGAGUUGAGCUGAAAAUGCCGAAUACAAGGUGAAGGACAGACCGAAGCAUGCAGCCUGCUGAUCCAAUGCUUCAGUGAGAACAGAUGGUAUUCUGAAACAGUCCAUUUGUGAUCAUUCCGUAAUAAAGAUUAAAGUUGCGUAUUCCCCAGCAGAGGUGCUUCCGGCAGCCUGCCAACAUGAGCAGGCUCCUGGCCCUCCUCUUCCACCAUUUGAUUGCUUUUUGUUGUUCCUUUUUUUUCGACUUAUCUGAAUCUUUUUUUUUUUUCCACUGUUAAACUUUUCUAUAUAAAGUCAAGAUAAAGAAAAGGGUUUAUAUGACAAUUGUUUCCCAGUUACAAUAACCUCUUAGCUACAGUAGAAAAUUGUUUUAUUGUUCCAGACUGUAAUCUUACAAUACUGUUUUUAGUUAUACACGUGUUGGAGCUGUACUCCACUUCCAAGGUGUGUGCGGUUGAUAAUUACACAGUGAAUGCAGGGCAUUCUCUCGCUGAGUUUGUCCUUGUGAGCUAAGAAGUGUGGGGGUGUUAUAACAAGGCAGCAGCUGUAACUGACAUUCUAAUCACAGCUGGGAGUCUGAUAUAAAUGAAUUCCUUUUUUUUUCUUUCAUAAGUUGGCUGCAACUGUUAUUUUACUGGUUAGGAUGGAAUUUAUACCAUGAGGAGUUGUAUAGUUGCAGACAACCAUCUGAUCACCUGGUAGACCAAUGCAGAACAAAUAAUAACCUUCUUAUAAGCGCUGUGGUGGUAUUGCAUCGUACUUUUAAACUUAAUGAGAGCUGAAUUUUGAUGCAUUUCCUGUAAAAGAGAUAAGUAUGUUUUCAGUGGCCCAUUUUGUUGUUGUUGUUGUUCUUCUUUUUUUAUACACUUUUUAAAAAUUGUAUGUGAGUUUCAGAAGUGUCCCUGUAUUGCCUCACUGGUAUUACGUUUGAGAUAUGUAACUACAUGUAUGCCAAACAAAGUUUUUAAAGCAAUGAUUCAGCUGUAAAUGCACAUAUCGGGGCACUGUAAUCAUGCAUAACAAAUAGGAGUUCAGGUUCUGAUUCACUCAGAGUAGUUUGGAAGGCACUGAAUUCUUAUGGUAUUUUGAUCAAAGUAUAUGUUCAUUAAAAUUGAAACAAACUCUU
ensembl:lncRNA